rnacentral:rRNA from 1 species
CAGUAGCCGCGGGAAUACGAAGGGGGCUAGCGUUGCUCGGAAUGACUGGGCGUAAAGGGCGCGUAGGCGGCGAUCAAAGUCAGGCGUGAAAUUCCUGGGCUCAACCUGGGGGCUGCGUUUGAUACUUGAUUGCUAGAGUGGGGAAGAGGGUUGUGGAAUUCCCAGUGUAGAGGUGAAAUUCGUAGAUAUUGGGAAGAACACCGGUGGCGAAGGCGGCGACCUGGUCCUUUACUGACGCUGAGGCGCGAAAGCGUGGGGAGCAAACAGGAUUAGAUACCCGGGUAGUCCCUGUCUCUUAUAC